UGGGGAAUAUUGCACAAUGGGGGAAACCCUGAUGCAGCGACGCCGCGUGAGCGAAGAAGUAUCUCGGUAUGUAAAGCUCUAUCAGCAGGGAAGAAGAUGACGGUACCUGACUAAGAAGCACCGGCUAAAUACGUGCCAGCAGCCGCGGUAAUACGUAUGGUGCAAGCGUUAUCCGGAUUUACUGGGUGUAAAGGGAGCGUAGACGGAAAAGCAAGUCUGGAGUGAAAGCCCGGGGCUCAACCCCGGGACUGCUUUGGAAACUGUUAUUCUUGAGUGCCGGAGAGGUAAGCGGAAUUCCUAGUGUAGCGGUGAAAUGCGUAGAUAUUAGGAGGAACACCAGUGGCGAAGGCGGCUUACUGGACGGUAACUGACGUUGAGGCUCGAAAGCGUGGGGAGCAAACA
rnacentral:rRNA from 1 species